UACGUAGGGUGCGAGCGUUGUCCGGAAUUAUUGGGCGUAAAGGGCUCGUAGGCGGUUUGUCGCGUCGGGAGUGAAAACUCAGGGCUUAACCCUGAGCCUGCUCCCGAUACGGGCAGACUAGAGGUAUGCAGGGGGAGAACGGAAUUCCUGGUGUAGCGGUGAAAUGCGCAGAUAUCAGGAGGAACACCGGUGGCGAAGGCGGUUCUCUGGGCAUUACCUGACGUGAGGAGCGAAAGUGUGGGGAGCGAACAGG
rnacentral:rRNA from 1 species